ACUCAAAGGAAUAGACGGGGGCCCGCACAAGCGGUGGAGUAUGUGGUUUAAUUCGAUGCAACGCGAAGAACCUUACCUACUCUUGACAUGGUGGGAAUCUUGCAGAGAUGCGAGAGUGCCGAAAGGAACCCACACACAGGUGCUGCAUGGCUGUCGUCAGCUCGUGUCGUGAGAUGUUGGGUUAAGUCCCGCAACGAGCGCAACCCUUGCCUCUAGUUACCAUCAUUCAGUUGGGGACUCUAGAGGGACUGCUGAUCUAUGAUCGGAGGAAGGGGGGGAUGACGUCAAGUCAUCAUGGCCCUUACGAGUAGGGCUACACACGUACUACAAUGGUCGGUACAGAGGGAUGCAAUAUCGCAAGAUGGAGCGAACCCCACAAAGCUGAUCGUAGUCCGGAUUGAGGUCUGCAACUCGACCUCAUGAAGCCGGAAUCGCUAGUAAUCGCAGAUCAGAAUGCUGCGGUGAAUACGUUCCCGGGCCUUGUACACACCGCCCGU
rnacentral:rRNA from 1 species